rnacentral:lncRNA from 1 species
UGCUUUCCGGUUAGAGCUGAAUAGAUACACUGUAUCCGUGGCCUUAAAAAUAAGUAAAUAAAGAGAAGGCUGCCCUGGAUAGAACUCUGACCCUCCCGUGAGUGAGUGAGUGAGUGAGUCACCGCAACCCAGCCUGAAUCUCACAUUUGCCUGGCACUCCCCCGGGGAAUACUGAGGAUGAGAAGAGUCCUAAUUUACCUGGGCUCUGACGGCUGGGUCACAGGGCUGCUGGAGCGAGCCACAAACAGGAGAGCUUGCUCCAUACUGCGUGUGCAACUGGGCCGUGAUUGGCGUGUGCCGGUGUUUGAUUCGUUCCGCCUUACCCUCACAUGCCUUUGUUAACAUUUAGUGACAUGCUUUUAGGUUUUGUGACUACCGAGGGUGGAAGGCUGUAAACUCAGUUUUAUUACCGUUUGCCAGGGCCCAGGGAUGUGUUGAGAAAAAAAAAAAAAAAAAAAAAAAAAAACACGUUAAAGAAAAUGGUUACUGAACAGAACGCGUCUAAAGAGAAUGGAGUUUGAAACACAUAUCAUGAAGCUACAAGACAGUUUCUCUAAGAUACUAUGCAAUAAGAACUUGCUGAGUUCCUGUCUACAUCCACCAUGGGGUGAAGGUGCCUCUAUGGAGAUGGAGGAGGUUUAUGGAUCUGUGGGGGUGCUCGUUGGGAACCCUAGGCUGAAGGAUGUGCUCAGCGCCAUCACAAGCACAGAGGAGAGAGCGGAAGGGGAGAGGAACCCGCUUAAGGGAGUAGGAGUGGGUACUGAAAACCAUCUCGAGGAUAACCAAAGGCUGCUGGAGCAGAAUCAUCGUGAGCUCGUUCUUGUGGAUAAACAUGUUGAUUUCUGGGAAUAAAUCACAUAUGUCUGGUCUACUCACUUAUUAGCCUCCUGAAAAUUACAUUAUAGGGAUUUUUUUUUCUUUACAUCAUUUUCUCAAUUGCUACUUGGAAAUCGUCAUCACAGCAGGCAAGCAGUGCUCACUGAAAGAGAACCGGCGCUAUAGCUAUGUGUCUGUGAACAGGAAUACAUACAUACUUUGGCCAGGAGCACCGCUUCUAGUCCCCCGAAGGAGGGGGAGGAG